rnacentral:rRNA from 1 species
UGGGGAAUAUUGGACAAUGGGCGAAAGCCUGAUCCAGCCAUGCCGCGUGUGUGAAGAAGGUCUUCGGAUUGUAAAGCACUUUAAGUUGGGAGGAAGGGCAGUAAGCGAAUACCUUGCUGUUUUGACGUUACCGACAGAAUAAGCACCGGCUAACUCUGUGCCAGCAGCCGCGGUAAUACAGAGGGUGCAAGCGUUAAUCGGAAUUACUGGGCGUAAAGCGCGCGUAGGUGGUUCGUUAAGUUGAAUGUGAAAGCCCCGGGCUCAACCUGGGAACUGCAUCCAAAACUGGCGGGCUAGGGUAGGGCAGAGGGUGGUGGAAUUUCCUGUGUAGCGGUGAAAUGCGUAGAUAUAGGAAGGAACACCAGUGGCGAAGGCGACCACCUGGGCUCAUACUGACACUGAGGUGCGAAAGCGUGGGGAGCAAACAGG